AAUGGUCUCAUGGGAUCAGCUCAACCAAAUCCUGCUCUCUAGCUAUCAUCACCAUCAAUAUGGAUCAUUCGUAUUUCCUAAGAUAUGAUCAUGUUGAAGAGAUGAGUGAUUAGGAAAUUCUGUAUAACAUCAUGGCCAACAGCAGUUGUGUUUGCAUAUUACCAAGAAGCAAAUAUCAACAAGGAUAUGUAUCUCGCAAAUAUCUCCAUAGCUGUGUCUCCUCUGAAGGCAUGGGAAGAAAGGCAGGAUUGAAGAAAGCAGCCUACUUACUUGAUAUGGAUGGAGCUUAUGGACCCAGAGCCAAAGCCUUUGUAAAUCUUCAAACUCAGUUUCAUCUCCCAAACCUUCCCUUCAUGCAGUGAGUUUCUGCUGUUAGGUUUUGUGUUAAUAGGCUUACCUGCUCCUACUGGGAUUAUUUGUCUACAAUAUACCACAAUUGCUCAACUGUGGUACUUCUGACA